rnacentral:rRNA from 1 species
CUGAGUACGGCGGAACACGUGAAAUUCCGUCGGAAUCCGGGAGGACCAUCUCCCAAGGCUAAAUACUCCCUAGUGACCGAUAGUGAACCAGUACCGUGAGGGAAAGGUGAAAAGCACCCCGGAAGGGGAGUGAAACAGUUCCUGAAACCGUGUGCCUACAAGUAGUUAGAGCCCGUUAAUGGGUGAUAGCGUGCCUUUUGUAGAAUGAACCGGCGAGUUACGAUUUGUUGCAAGGUUAAGCGGAAAAAGCGGAGCCGUAGCGAAAGCGAGUCUGAAUAGGGCGCAUAAGUAACAGGUCGUAGACCCGAAACCAGGUGAUCUACCCAUGUCCAGGAUGAAGGUAAGGUAAUACUUACUGGAGGUCCGAACCCACGCACGUUGAAAAGUGCGGGGAUGAGGUGUGGGUAGCGGAGAAAUUCCAAUCGAACUUGGAGAUAGCUGGUUCUCUCCGAAAUAGCUUUAGGGCUAGCCUCGAGGUAAAGAGUCAUGGAGGUAGAGCACUGUUUGGACUAGGGGCCCUUCUCGGGUUACCGAAUUCAGAUAAACUCCGAAUGCCAUGUACUUAUACUCGGGAGUCAGACUGCGAGUGAUAAGAUCCGUAGUCGAAAGGGAAACAGCCCAGACCACCAGUUAAGGUCCCCAAAUAUAUGUUAAGUGGAAAAGGAUGUGGGGUUGCUUAGACAACCAGGAUGUUGGCUUAGAAGCAGCCACCAUUGAAAGAGUGCGUAAUAGCUCACUGGUCGAGUGACCCCGCGCCGAAAAUGUACCGGGGCUAAACAUAUUACCGAAACUGUGGAUGAACCUCUUUAGAGGUUCGUGGUAGGAGAGCGUUCUAAGGGCGGUGAAGUCAGACCGGAAGGACUGGUGGAGCGCUUAGAAGUGAGAAUGCCGGUAUGAGUAGCGAAAGAAGGGUGAGAAUCCCUUCCACCGAAUAUCUAAGGUUUCCUGAGGAAGGCUCGUCCGCUCAGGGUUAGUCGGGACCUAAGCCGAGGCCGAUAGGCGUAGGCGAUGGACAACAGGUAGAGAUUCCUGUACCAGUGCUAAUUGUUUAACCGAUGGGGUGACACAGAAGGAUAGGGAAUCGCACGAAUGGAAAUGUGCGUCCAAGCAGUGAGUGUGAGAAGUAGGCAAAUCCGCUUCUCGCGAAGCAUGAGCUGUGAUGGGGAAGGAAAUUAAGUACGGAAGUUCCUGAUUUCACGCUGUCAAGAAAAGCCUCUAGGAAGAGUAGUACUGCCCGUACCGCAAACCGACACAGGUAGAUGAGGAGAGAAUCCUAAGGUGAGCGAGAGAACUCUCGUUAAGGAACUCGGCAAAAUGACCCCGUAACUUCGGGAGAAGGGGUGCUCUAUUAGGGUGCAAGCCCGAGAGAGCCGCAGUGAAUAGGCCCAGGCGACUGUUUAGCAAAAACACAGGUCUC